AUUGAACGCUGGCGGCAGGCUUAACACAUGCAAGUCGAACGAGCGGCGGACGGGUGAGUAAUGUCUGGGAAACUGCCUGAUGGAGGGGGAUAACUACUGGAAACGGUUGCUAAUACCGCAUACCAUCAGAUGUGCCCGGAGGGGAUUAGCUAGUGGGUGGGGUAAUGGCUCACCAAGGCGACGAUCCCUAGCUGGGCUGAGAGGAUGACCAGCCACACUGGGACUGAGACACGGUCCAGACUCCUACGGGAGGCAGCAGUGGGGAAUAUUGCACAAUGGACGCAAGCCUGAUGCAGCCAUGCCGCGUGUGUGAAGAAGGCCUUCGGGUUGUAAAGCACUUUCAGCGAGGAGGCGUUACUCGCAGAAGAAGCACCGGCUAACUCCGUGCCAGCAGCCGCGGUAAUUC
rnacentral:rRNA from 1 species